CGAAGAGUAGUUAAAGUAGAAUCCCGGCUCUGGGCACCGGCGGCGGGGGUUAAAAUCCCCUCUCUUCGA
rnacentral:tRNA from 1 species